rnacentral:sRNA from 1 species
UGAACCUUGUUAUCGCUUUGUUAAUGAGCGAUAAUGCGCAUGAUAAACA